rnacentral:rRNA from 1 species
UACGAAGGGGGCUAGCGUUGUUCGGAUUUACUGGGCGUAAAGCGCGUGUAGGCGGACUUGUAAGUUGGGGGUGAAAUCCCGAGGCUCAACCUCGGAACUGCCUCCAAAACUACAAGUCUGGAGCAAGAUAGAGGCAAGUGGAAUUGCGAGUGUAGAGGUGAAAUUCGUAGAUAUUCGCAAGAACACCAGUGGCGAAGGCGGCUCACUGGCCCGAUACUGACGCUGAGGCACGAAAGCGUGGGGAGCAAACAGG